AGAGCGAACGCUGGCGGCAGGCCUAAUACAUGCAAGUCGAACGGACCCUUCGGGGUUAGUGGCGGACGGGUGAGUAACACGUGGGAACGUGCCCUUUGGUUCGGAACAACUCAGGGAAACUUGAGCUAAUACCGAAUGUGCCCUUUGGGGGAAAGAUUUAUCGCCAUUGGAGCGGCCCGCGUCUGAUUAGCUAGUUGGUGAGGUAAAGGCUCACCAAGGCGACGAUCAGUAGCUGGUCUGAGAGGAUGAUCAGCCACACUGGGACUGAGACACGGCCCAGACUCCUACGGGAGGCAGCAGUAGGGAAUCUUGCGCAAUGGGCGAAAGCCUGACGCAGCCAUGCCGCGUGAAUGAUGAAGGUCUUAGGAUUGUAAAAUUCUUUCAGCGGGGACGAUAAUGACGGUACCCGCAGAAGAAGCCCGGCUAACUUCGCGCCAGCAGCCGC
rnacentral:rRNA from 1 species